rnacentral:rRNA from 1 species
CCUACGGGUGGCAGCAGUGAGGAAUAUUGGUCAAUGGACGAGAGUCUGAACCAGCAAAGCCGCGUGAAGGAUGAAUGUCUUAUGGGUUGUAAACUUUUUUUAUAUGGGAAUAAAACAGGGUAUGUAUACACUCAUGUCUGUACCAUAUCAAUAAGGAAAGGCUAACUCCGUGCCAGCAGCCGAGGUAAUACGGAGGAUACGAGCGUUAUCCGGCGUUAUUGGGUUUAAAGGGAGCGUAGGUGGAUUGUUAAGUAAGUUGUGAAAGUUUGCGGCUCAACCGUAGAAUUGCAGUUGAAACUGGCAGUCUUGAGUACAGUAGAGGUGAGCGGAAUUCGUGGUGUAGCGGUGAAAUGCUUAGAGAUCACGAAGAACUCCGAUUGCGAAGGCAGCUCACUGGACUGCAACUGACGCUGAUGCGCGAAAGUGUGGGUAUCAAACAGGAUUAGAUACCCGGGUAGUC